CCCUUGUGUUGUUCCAAACCUGUAUGCUGUUUUCAGAGGAACACAAAAGCAGAACUAUCAGCCCUUUUUCCAUACAGCUACAAUUACUUGCUAACUCAAUCUCGAGUUAACAGGUCACAAAUAUUAACAAAUGUUGUCUGUUCACUUUCUUAGUCAGAAAAAGAUCAAAGCAUUCAUACACUGACUUGAGAAACAUAAAUAUAAGAUUUUGUCUUGUUUUCUGAAAAAUGUAUCAAAAUUAAGUGAGUUAAAUGAAAAACGAAUCAGCCAACGGGGUAAGAAAACUACAAAAACAGGUAUAAAAUCACUUCUUUUUUAUACUUUUUCCAUAAACAAGAUGUUUUUUUGCUUCUCAAGAAAAUGUUUCUUAAUUUAAGAAUGAUUUGAUAUUCAUACUGGAAUAUAAGACAAAAUCACUUUUUGCAGUGGCCUCUAAAAGACUUGAAAUAUAGUGCAGAAGGACCGAUUUCACUGUUUUUUAUAGAAAAAUGUCUGCCUGAAAUUCCUCCUUUUGUGUUCAACAAAAAUAAAACAAAAAUUAGCAAAUAGCAGCAUACAGAUUUAAAGCAACAUAAGGGUUAAUAACUUAAGUUAGCUUUUAUGGUUUUGGUGAACUAUUCUUUUAAAGAAUAGCUGUUAAACAUUGAAAAA